GCCAAUGCGGGGCGUGCCCGGCGCGGCGCGCGCGGCGGCUGCAGGGGGACGUGAGGCCCGUGAGGUCGAUGGCAGGGGUGUGGCGAGGCACAGAGGCUGCAAGGGGCUCUCAGCAGCGGCCACCCCGCGCUUGUCUGGAUGCUCUGAUUAGCAAGACCUACUGGGAUAGAAGACUGGAAGAGGAAGAAUCACAAAUCAGAUGCUUUCUCUCACUGGAACACCCGAGCCAGACAUUUCUCCACCAGCAAUAUUGCUUGGGCCACGGCUGCUGCCUGCUCGCCUCUUCUGGAAAGAAAUAUUUGCAAGUGUG